GACCCCGCACAAGCGGUGGAUCAUGUUGUUUAAUUUCGAUGAUACGCGAAGAACCUUACCAGGUCUUGACAUCCCUUGCAAAGCUAUAGAGAUAUAGUGGAGGUUACCAAGGAGACAGGUGGUGCACGGUUGUCGUCAGCUCGUGUCGUGAGAUGUUGGGUUAAGUCCCGCAACGAGCGCAACCCUCAUUGCUAGUUACCAUCAUUAAGUUGGGGACUCUAGCGAGACUGCCAGUGAUAAACUGGAGGAAGGUGGGGAUGACGUCAAAUCAUCAUGCCCCUUAUGACCUGGGCUACAAACGUGAUACAAUGGCUGGAACAGAGGGAGGCUAAGGAGUGAUCUGGAGCGAAACCCAAAAAACAGUACUCAGUUCGGAUUGAAGUCUGCAACUCGACUUCAUGAAGUCGGAAUCGCUAGUAAUCGCAAAUCAGAAUGUUG
rnacentral:rRNA from 1 species